rnacentral:rRNA from 1 species
CCGGGCCACCAGGCCUGAGGCGGAAUGUUGCGUCAAGGGAAAGGUCGCAGCCAAGCCCUUCAGCCACGCGCACCCUAAGUGUGCCUCGAAUAGGCAAGCCCAACUAACGGAGGGUUUUGUCUCCACGGAGGGUGUCAGACCCGUAUGGGCGCGUGCAGAUGCUGGACGGGUUCGACCUCUGUUCCCCGAGAGUCGCGUUGCUUGGGAAUGCAGCGCUAAGCAGGUCGUAAACUCGAUCUAAGGCUAAAUAUCUCCACAGGACCGAUAGUGAACAAGUACCGUGAGGGAAAGUUGAAAAGGACUCUGAAGAGAGAGUCAAAAGACCGUGAAACCGCUCACAGUAUAAGCCGAUGGAGUCUGGAAGGCACUCGGUGAAGGUGCUCACCCUUUGGGGUGGAAGUGAAUCCCUCGGGUCCAAUGACUGAGGUUCGCCAGGUGUCGUUGGCACCGACGUGCCCGAUUUCAGCCUCGAGAGACGUUCGGAUCUCGCUGGUUGCUGUCGCGAGCGCGGGCGUUCAAAGUCUGCUGGACUUAGCCGAUUUUGCCCACCACGACACGUUGUGAGGUCACCCGCAGGCUCUCUGUGUGCCGUUGCGCAGUUCUUGCCCGAGAGUCCAGAUUCGCGUCGGAGACGAUCCAGCGGAGAGGAAGGAAACCUCACCUGGGUCGACGCGAGAGCUCGAAGGCUUGAAACGGGCGGCAGCGAGAGGUAAACCUGGUAAGAUCCUUUUGCGACGAGUCGCUUUCUGGCCAGUAACUGGCGCACGCGUUCGCUCCCGUGCCGAGUGGACGAGCCUAAGGCUAGCCGCCUGUACCCUCUGGUGUCUCAACCAAGGUCUCGGCCG